rnacentral:rRNA from 1 species
CCUACGGGAGGCAGCAGUGGGGAAUAUUGGGCAAUGGAGGCAACUCUGACCCAGCAACGCCGCGUGAAUGAUGAAGGUCUUCGGAUUGUAAAGUUCUUUUCUAAGGGAAGAAGAAAGUGACGGUACCUUAGGAAUAAGCCUCGGCUAACUACGUGCCAGCAGCCGCGGUAAUACGUAGGAGGCAAGCGUUAUCCGGAAUGACUGGGCGUAAAGGGUGCGUAGGUGGUUUGACAAGGUGGUAGCGUAACUCCGGAGCUCAACUUCGGAACUAGUACCAAAACUGUUGGACUCUAGUGCAGGGUGGGCAACUGGAAUUUCUAGUUUUACGGGGGAAUUCGUAGAUAUU